UGGGGAAUUUUGGACAAUGGGGGAAACCCUGAUCCAGCCAUCCCGCGUGUGCGAUGAAGGCCUUCGGGUUGUAAAGCACUUUUGGCAGGAAAGAAACGUCGUGGGUUAAUACCCCGCGAAACUGACGGUACCUGCAGAAUAAGCACCGGCUAACUACGUGCCAGCAGCCGCGGUAAUACGUAGGGUGCAAGCGUUAAUCGGAAUUACUGGGCGUAAAGCGUGCGCAGGCGGUUCGGAAAGAAAGAUGUGAAAUCCCAGAGCUUAACUUUGGAACUGCAUUUUUAACUACCGGGCUAGAGUGUGUCAGAGGGAGGUGGAAUUCCGCGUGUAGCAGUGAAAUGCGUAGAUAUGCGGAGGAACACCGAUGGCGAAGGCAGCCUCCUGGGAUAACACUGACGCUCAUGCACGAAAGCGUGGGGAGCAAACAGG
rnacentral:rRNA from 1 species